UUGAGGAUAACUUGGUCGGUAGAGCACGAGACUCUUAAUCUCGGGGUUGUGGGUUUGAGCCCCACGUUGUGCAAA